AUUGAACGCUGGCGGCAUGCCUUACACAUGCAAGUCGAACGGCAGCACGGACUUCGGUCUGGUGGCGAGUGGCGAACGGGUGAGUAAUGUAUCGGAACGUACCCUUCAGUGGGGGAUAACUAUCCGAAAGGAUAGCUAAUACCGCAUAUUCUCUGAGGAGGAAAGCGGGGGAUCGCAAGACCUCGCGCUGAUGGAGCGGCCGAUAUCAGAUUAGCUAGUUGGUGGGGUAAAGGCCUACCAAGGCGACGAUCUGUAGCGGGUCUGAGAGGAUGAUCCGCCACACUGAGACUGAGACACGGCCCAGACUCCUACGGGAGGCAGCAGUGGGGAAUUUUGGACAAUGGGGGCAACCCUGAUCCAGCCAUGCCGCGUGAGUGAAGAAGGCCUUCGGGUUGUAAAGCUCUUUCGGCCGGGAAGAAAUCGCGUGAGUUAAUACCUCGGGGUAAUGACGGUACCUGAAGAAUAAGCACCGGCUAACUACGUGCCAGCCGCCGCAGUAAGAC
rnacentral:rRNA from 1 species